GCUAGUAAUGGCAGGUCAGCAUACUGCCGUGAAUACGUUCCCGGGCCUUGUACACACCGCCCGUCACACCAUGAGAGUUGGGAAUACCCGAAGCCUGUGAGCUAACAUUAUGAGGCAGCAGUCGAAGGUAGAAUCAAUGAUUGGGGUGAAGUCGUAACAAGGUAAC
rnacentral:rRNA from 1 species